rnacentral:rRNA from 1 species
GACAGAGGGUGCAAACGUUGUUCGGAAUUACUGGGCGUAAAGCGCAUGUAGGCGGCCUAGCAGGUCGGAUGUGAAAUCCCUCGGCUCAACCAAGGAAGUGCAUUCGAAACCGCAAGGCUGGAGUCCCGGAGAGGAUGGUGGAAUUCUCGGUGUAGAGGUGAAAUUCGUAGAUAUCGAGAGGAACACCGGCGGCGAAAGCGGCCAUCUGGACGAGGACUGACGCUGAGAUGCGAAAGCGUGGGGAGCAAACAGG